ensembl:lncRNA
GAAGUUCAGGAAUCCCACGUGACGUCACCGGGGGGGUGAUGUAAUGCACUCUAAAUAGAAUGUAUUGUAAUCUUUGCUCAGUCCAACGUGGUCCCUUCACCCGGGCUCUGCUCUUGCCUUCUCCACACUUGUUUGAGACCUGGCAAGGUGCGGAAUCCUCCAGAAGUGCGAUCAAGCGGCGGCAGCAGCGGCGGCAGCGGAGACGGCGAGCCAUGAACCUCCCCUCGCGUCCCCAACUUCUCAGUGAUGCGGCGGAACCCCCGGAGAAAGUUUGCAAACUUCCAGCGGGCGUGGCGAGGACGCCGGGUCACCUAGGGGGCGGACAGGCGAGCGCGUGGGGGGCUCGGUCCCUCCCGGGUGCCGGAACCUGCUGCUGCCACCUCUCCCGCAGGGCUGCCCGCCGCAGGUGGUGGGCGCGCGCGCCCGGGGAGGGGACGUCGCGCUUGGAGGGCACUUGGCUUUCACUCCCGGCACGGAAGGCUCGAGAGUGUCGAGGCUCUGCUCGCCUUCACUCUUCCAGCCUCCUCUUGCCUCCGUCCGGUUCUCGCUGGCAUCAUUACCUCUUCGCCGCUACCCCAAAUGACAGCUCCCGCUUUUGCCGCGGCGGCGCGGUGGCAGUUCCCAGGACCCGGCGGUGGAGCCUUCCUCUCCGGCAGAUUCUCCACGGAAUCGGUUAAAACUUUUCACGAUGUUCUUAGAGGGGCAAGACGCACCAAGGAACCAAGGGGAUGUUUUCUCCCCGGGGCUGCAUCCCGCUUUUCCUUUGCCAUAGAUUUAUUUCGGGAGAGUGGUUUAUCUGGUAGAUAAAGCCUCGGAUCUUGUCCACUCCUUCCCCAACUUUCCCUGAACGGUUGCCGCCCCCACUUGAGGCUUGUUCAAGGCCAGGAACUAAGUGGAGUGGUUGUAUAUUUCGUUGUCAGAAUCCGCAGUGUUUGAUUUUUAUUUUUCCCUCCUUCUCUGACAUGUGUCAAGGAAUAAAGGCAGGAUACAGGUCCAUUACGUCAUUCUGCAGGCCAGUAAGUGAUUAACAGCUUCAGAUACUCAAGGGUUGGGGGCUUAGAAAUGCUGACAAAGCAACUAUGCUUUCCAUCCCCAGCCCCCAACAUACUCGUACAAUCGCUGGUUCCAUGGGCAUCUUUAUUGCCCUCUCCUCCUGGUCCCCUCUUUCUCCACCCCCUCUCCCUCCCACACCGUUAUCACGGUGGCCCCGCCUCCGCCUUUUACUGCUUUCCCUGGGGGCGAUCACAGUCCCUGGAGUGUGUGUAAGAGCUUCUGGUGGCUGAGGGGGGCACAGUACCUAUCAGCGCACACGCAAUCUACCCUUUUCUAUUAUUUAAGAAAGGCACCGGCCAGCCCUCUUCUCCAGGGCAAAAAUGCUCAGCCCUGAUAGAAAAGGCAUCCGAGGAAAUGUUUAGAGACGUUAUGAUAAUACUAUGUCCCUGUGGUGACUCAGGAAAACAACACACCCACUACAGAGUACUUAAUUUUGCAUAGCGCCUUCCUCUGACCGGUUAGCCGAAGAGAGAUGAAGUGAGAUGCUAACUAAAUGAAUUCUAGCUAAACGGCUCAAGAUUAAACGUUUCAUUUCCAGAGUGAGGGAAUGUGAGUCGUUGAACCCAAAGUACCAAGCAAUAAAUUGGUGCAUGUGUUAUUUUCUUUCUUAACCUUAAGUUUCUGUAUUUAAAGGGGAAGUUAAAUACAUAAGUCACUGAAUUGAGUCAGAAUCUCCGUAUCUGGCAGUUGAAAUAAAAAUACUGCGUGUGACAUGUUUAAGGGGUAAAAGUAAGAAGAACUCUGGNGGGGAGGGGGUGGGGGGACGGGACGGGGUGGUGGGUAUGAGCGAUGUGCAGCAGGAAUCAAAGAUUUCCUAACAGCUUUUGGAGGGUGGGGGGCAGAGGAGUUGAGUGCUCUCUGAUUUGGAGUCGGUGAAAGCGAAAUAAAGGAAAAUUUAUAUCUCGAGUAUGUGGGAAUUUCUUGAAGAACACAUGUUUUGUUAUAAUCAGAUCUACUUUCUUCAAAGUGAAAGCCCUGCUGUAGAGUAGGCAUUUGUGAAACUCCUGUCUGGGUCUAAUUGACACCCUUCCCCAAGUCUGUGGCAGAAUUUAUUAUUUAUUCACGUCUAGAGAUGUAAUAGUAUAACCCCCACAC